CAGAUAUUCUGUUUAAUAUGUCCUGAAACACAAACUUCAGCGAAGACCUACUUUAGUAAAGAUGCAUGGCAGCUUGUUUUAAAUACUCUCAAAGUAUUAGAAGAUAUGUAUAUUAGUAACACUCAGAAGUAUUAUGAUAAGAUUUCUCCAUGCCAAACAAGAAAAGGCAAAGCUUUAAUAGGUCCAGUUGAAG